rnacentral:rRNA from 1 species
CAGCCGCCACGGUAAUACGAAGGGGGCUAGCGUUGUUCGGAAUUACUGGGCGUAAAGGGCGCGUAGGCGGCCAUUCAAGUUAGAUGUGAAAGCCCUGGGUUCAACCUAGGAAUUGCAUUUGAUACUGUUUGGCUUGAGUUCGGGAGAGGUGAGUGGAAUUCCCAGUGUAGAGGUGAAAUUCGUAGAUAUUGGGAAGAACACCAGUGGCGAAGGCGGCUCACUGGACCGACACUGACGCUGGGGCGCGAAAGCGUGGGGAGCAAACAGGAUUAGAUACCCCCGUAGUCCCUGUCUCUUAUAC